rnacentral:rRNA from 1 species
CCUACGGGAGGCAGCAGUGGGGAAUAUUGCACAAUGGGGGAAACCCUGAUGCAGCGACGCCGCGUGAGUGAAGAAGUCAUUCGUUAUGUAAAGCUCUAUCAGCAGGGAAGAAAAUUACGGUACCUGAGUAAGAAUCCCCGGUUAACUACGUGCCAGCAGCCGCGGUCACACGUAGGGGGGAAGCGUUAUCCGGAUUUACUGGGUGUAAAGGGGGCGUAGACGGCAGUGCAAGUUUGGAGUGAAAGGCGGGGGCUCAACCCCCGGACUGCUCUGGAAACUGUACGGCUGGAGUGCAGGAGAGGUAAGUGGAAUUCCUAGUGUAGCGGUGAAAUGCGUAGAUAUUAGGAGGAACACCAGUGGCGAAGGCGGCUUACUGGACUGUAACUGACGUUGAGGCUCGAAAGCGUGGGGAGCAAACAGGAUUAGAUACCCGGGUAGUC